GAUGAACGCUGGCGGCGUGCCUAAUACAUGCAAGUCGAGCGAACAGAUGCGGAGCUUGCUCCUCUGACGUUAGCGGCGGACGGGUGAGUAACACGUGGAUAACCUCCCUAUAAGACUGGGAUAACUUCGGGAAACCGGAGCUAAUACCGGAUAAUCUAUUGCACCGCAUGGUUCAAUAGUGAAAGACGGUUUUGCUGUCACUUAUAGCUGCAUCCGGGCCGCAUUAGCUAGUUGGUAAGGUAACGGCUUACCAAGGCAACGAUGCGUAGCCGACCUGAGAGGGUGAUCGGCCACACUGGAACUGAGACACGGUCCAGACUCCUACGGGAGGCAGCAGUAGGGAAUCUUCCGCAAUGGGCGAAAGCCUGACGGAGCAACGCCGCGUGAGUGAUGAAGGUCUUCGGAUCGUAAAACUCUGUUAUUAGGGAAGAACAAAUGUGUAAGUAACUAUGCACGUCUUGACGGUACCUAAUCAGAAAGCCACGGCUAACUACGUG
rnacentral:rRNA from 1 species